CCUACGGGCGGCAGCAGUGAGGAAUAUUGGUCAAUGGCCGAGAGGCUGAACCAGCCAAGUCGCGUGAAGGAAGACGGCGCUAAGCGUUGUAAACCUCUUUUGUCGGGGGACAAAACCAGGCACGUGUGACUCAUUGAGGGUACUUGAAGAAAAAGCAUCGGCUAACUCCGUGCCAGCAGCCGCGGUAAUACGGAGGAUGCGAGCGUUAUCCGGAUUUAUUGGGUUUAAAGGGUGCGCAGGCGGACGGUCAAGUCAGCGGUCAAAGUGCGGGGCUCAACCCCGGCGUGCCGUUGAAACUGGAUGCCUAGAGAGCGCGAGAAGUAUGCGGAAUGCGUGGUGUAGCGGUGAAAUGCAUAGAUAUUGCGCAGAACUCCGAUUGCGAAGGCAGCAUACCGGCGCGGAACUGACGCUCAUGCACGAAAGCGUGGGUAUCGAACAGGAUUAGAUACCCGAGUAGUC
rnacentral:rRNA from 1 species